rnacentral:rRNA from 1 species
UACGAAGGGGGCUAGCGUUGUUCGGAGUUACUGGGCGUAAAGGGCGCGUAGGCGGCUUGACAAGUCAGGCGUGAAAGCCCCGGGCUUAACCCGGGAAUUGCGCUUGAUACUGUCUGGCUGGAGUCCGGGAGAGGAUGGCGGAAUUCCCAGUGUAGAGGUGAAAUUCGUAGAUAUUGGGAAGAACACCGGUGGCGAAGGCGGCCAUCUGGACCGGUACUGACGCUGAGGCGCGAAAGCGUGGGGAGCAAACAGG